UACGAAGGGGGCUAGCGUUGCUCGGAAUCACUGGGCGUAAAGCGCGCGUAGGUGGUUUGUUAAGUUGGAUGUGAAAUCCCCGGGCUCAACCUGGGAACUGCAUUCAAAACUGACAAGCUAGAGUAUGGUAGAGGGUGGUGGAAUUUCCUGUGUAGCGGUGAAAUGCGUAGAUAUAGGAAGGAACAUCAGUGGCGAAAGCGACUUCCUGGACCAAUACUGACGCUCAUGUGCGAAAGCGUGGGGAGCAAACAGG
rnacentral:rRNA from 1 species